rnacentral:rRNA from 1 species
AGAAUCAACGCUGGCGGCGUGCCUAACACAUGCAAGUCGCACGAGAAAGAGGGGGCAACCCCUUGAGUAAAGUGGCGUACGGGUGAGUAACACGUGACUAACCUACCUCCGAAUGGGGAAUAACCUCGGGAAACCGGGGCUAAUACCGCAUAACAUCUACGGAUCAAAGCAGCAAUGCGUUUGGAGAGGGGGUCGCGGCUGAUUAGCUAGUUGGUAGGGUAAUGGCCUACCAAGGCGACGAUCAGUAUCCGGCCUGAGAGGGCGCACGGACACACUGGAACUGAAACACGGUCCAGACUCCUACGGGAGGCAGCAGUGGGAAUUUGCGCAAUGGGGGAAACCCUGACGCAGCAACGCCGCGUGGAGGAUGAAGGUCUUUGGAUUGUAAACUCCUUUCGAUCGGGACGAUUAUGACGGUACCGGAAGAAGAAGCACGGCUAACUCUGCGCCAGCAGCCGC